AUGAAACUGCUGGGGACUUACGAACACUGCACAGUCGGUCGGAUCAACCAUCUGUACAACUGGCAGGUUUUUGUACAGCCAGUUAAUCAGACUCAACCACUGUGGUGGACUUUCGGUGGCGGGAGCAAACUGGAAAUCGGCAGUGACACAGUUCCCACCCUCACAGUCCUGCCCCCCUCCAGUGUGGAGCUGGAGCAGGGAAAGGCCACACUGGUGUGUCUGGCCAACAAGGGCUUCCCCUCAGACUGGACUCUGCGCUGGAAAGUGGACGACGCCAGCUGGAGCUCGGGCGUGGCCGGGAGUGUGGGGGUCCUGGGGAAUGACGGCCUGUACAGCUGGAGCAGCUCGCUGACUCUCAGUGCGGGAGACUGGAUGAAGGCGGGGUCACUGACCUGUGAGGCCACAAAGGGCUCCCAGUCUGCCCCCCCUCAGACACUGAGGAGAGCCCACUGUUCUUAGUAGGCCGGGUGGAGGACCAGCUCACACGUGCUCAUGUGCUCUGCUUGUGUUCAUUAAAACAAAUAUGCACACGUGUGCUCUUAUUUGUGUUUGUGUGGUUUUGAGAAUAGCUGUUAGAUCAAUUUCAUUGACAUAAUAAAGAUUCUUUGAAGAA